AAAAUGGAUUUUAUAAAGAUUUUGAAAAGUGUUAAAAGUCCUACCCUGAAAAGAAACCUCACAACUAAAAUGAAGUUGCAGAUGAAACAUUUGUCCAGUUGGUUUGAAUUUAAUGGUUGUGGCUUGUGAAUGCGAAGGCCACCACCUAAUGUCUCACUUUAUGUGACUACGAUGGAUUUUGUUAUAUAGAGAAUGAGAAUUGAGAAGGCCCUUAGCUUAGGUGUAGGAUAUUGGUGGUUUGUGAGUUGAGAAUUGAGAUGCCAUCUUACCUUCAGGAUAAGCAUGGCCAAAUAGAAAGAGGGAAUUGAAUUGAACAUUUUGGUGGGUUAGUGUUAUUACGAUGUGAAAGCUUUAACAAGAGGCCGGACCCAGAUGCUGCCCUGCAAAAGAUCCCACAGCUGGAAACUAUAUUCUCGCGACAAGGUCAGUUGAUCAGAAUUCGAAUACCAAUCUUGAGCAGCGGUCCCAUGCCUCAUCUGGUGGGUAGUGGGUUCAUUUCAAUUUUCCCUAAUUUUAUUUGUGUAUCAAAUGGGGCGGGCCUUUAUGACCCAAAUAAGGCACCGCUAUAUUUUUCACACACAUCAAGUUUUCAAACACGAUUUUCUUCCCUUGAAUUUAAAGCAUGCAUGCAUAAAAAGAUAAACAUUUGUUUAUGAUAGAUCCAAGACACCUACCUAUGAGGCUUGGAAAUAUAUAUUUUAUAUAUAUCGGAAUUUUAAAGUACGGAAAAGUUUGAAGAAUUUUUAAAAUCGUACAGUUUUAAAAUAUAAUAAAAUUAAAGUAUUGAAACCGCAGGAUUUUAAAAAUUUCCCAAACUUUUCUGCACUUUAAAUUAUAUAUAUAUUAACGUACACAAGUUGGGAUCUAUAAUGCCGGUUGUUGUUGUAUCUUAUUCAUCAUCAUAUAUAUUCGCUGAGAUUCAUUAGGAUGAGAUUCAAUUGUUUGAUUGGUUUAGAAUAACUAAUUAGCAAUUUCACUGUUUGUAAGGUGCAACAAUAUAUAACACAAGCGCAUUGAGUUGUAAUUUCUGGAGAACAAUGUUAAUUAAUUGUAUCUGCUUGUAUUAUACAUAUAUCUAGCUAGCUUUCCAACUGCAGUUCCCUUAUAUCCACUUUCUGCAAUUCAUCAUCUAACUGCCCCAAAAGCACAGACUAAAUGCUUGUUCUAACAUUUUUGCAUGCAUGCCUUAGCUUAGUUGUUAUUACGUUUGCAGCCGCAAAAACGGUUACAUGCUUUUGUUACCACAAUUAAUUUAUGCAAUCUGAAAUAAAUAAAUAAGUAAAUGUAUUCAUACAAUUUCUAGAACGUUUUUAUAACGAAUUAUAUUUAUUUUUCUAAUGCCCAGUGGAGGUAAAAAUAAAUAAAUAAACAAAUAAAGGUCUGACCCUACUUUCCAUAUUCAUAAUUUCGCUAAUAUUCUUUCUUCUCUUUUUGGCUUUAUAACUUUCUAAUGAGCUAUAUGUAUAAAUACCAUGUACCAUAUCUAAUUAAAUCAUAAUUAAUUAGAUUCGGUGUCUCUACCAGGAGGAUGUCCCGUAUAUGUUAAUUAAUAAAUGUAACAUACGCAUAUCCAAAUUAAAUAGCACGAUCUUCUGAAAGAUCUCAUACUCUUUGAAUUUUUCAAUUUCUCAACUUCUUAUAUGUUCAUGCCCUAGCCACUCGUAAUGGGGGAUUCUGAUUUUAUUCAUUAUUUUAUAGCAAUCCACGCAGAGUUUACCAGCAGGAAACAAGAAAUAUGAAGGUAACUCUACCUACUUAUAAUAAUUAUAAAUUAGGCCAUUUCCAUCGAACGUCGCAAAUCAAGGGUGAAAUGAUUGCAUCAGUUAAUUAUGUAAUAUUACAGCACUUUACCUCAAAUUGAGUUGAACUUCAUGAUGCAUAAGGGUUGUUGCCCGUUUCACCAAAUAAAUGACAAAAAUAUUAAUACAGACCAAACCUAAAAUACAAAUAUCCACUAAAAUUUAAUUUUUCUUUUUAACUAUAUAACAUUUAAGUUUGGCAUUGCGUAUGUAAAAAUCGAUCUCCUCACUUAUUUCUUUUUACCUUAACUUGGAACGUUCAAUACAAAUGUAAAUUCUAAUGUCAGGCCUGCGCUGGCUGGCUGGCUAGCACAUAGAAUUUAGCAAAAGGCAUACAUACUUUUUAUCGCUGAGUUAAUAUAUUAGCUUAAUCUUUAGUUUUAUAAUCAAGCGGCGUGGCAUUUUGAAGUGGGCAUGCAUGCAAGAGCUAGAAAGUAAAAGCAGCCCUAACCCUACUUGAGAUAAUUUUGAAGUUGCAGCAUCGCCACAUGCUGCUUUGCUGGACCCUUUGACUAACGACCAAAGAGAUGUGUGUGUUAUUAAUUUGUUUGUUUAUUUUUGGCAUGAAUUAAUUGCUUGGCAGAUAUAUCAAUUUGUACACACACAAAUACCCGAAGAUGAUCAAUAUCAUAAGUGAUAUGGCCAAGUACUUGCAUCACUCUUGAUUUUGUUGCCUUUAUUAUUGGGUCUAAAUAUGUUACAACGGCUCUAAGGACGUCUCCAAUGCUUAAAACACCAUUUUGGUGUAACACCAAUGCAAAAAAUGUACCUUUUUCACAUCAAAUUACUAUUUCAUCUCCAACCCAUUUACACCAAAUUUUACACCAAAAGAAUAUUUUUCUUUUUACUCUUUUAAUUCUCAAGAAUUAAUUCAAUUAACACAAUAAAUAUUACUAUU
rnacentral:lncRNA from 1 species